rnacentral:rRNA from 1 species
UGCAAGUCGAGCGGAUGAAGGGAGCUUGCUCCCUGAUUCAGCGGCGGACGGGUGAGUAAUGCCUAGGAAUCUGCCUGGUAGUGGGGGACAACGUUUCGAAAGGAACGCUAAUACCGCAUACGUCCUACGGGAGAAAGCAGGGGACCUUCGGGCCUUGCGCUAUCAGAUGAGCCUAGGUCGGAUUAGCUAGUUGGUGAGGUAAUGGCUCACCAAGGCGACGAUCCGUAACUGGUCUGAGAGGAUGAUCAGUCACACUGGAACUGAGACACGGUCCAGACUCCUACGGGAGGCAGCAGUGGGGAAUAUUGGACAAUGGGCGAAAGCCUGAUCCAGCCAUGCCGCGUGUGUGAAGAAGGUCUUCGGAUUGUAAAGCACUUUAAGUUGGGAGGAAGGGUUGUAGAUUAAUACUCUGCAAUUUUGACGUUACCGACAGAAUAAGCACCGGCUAACUCUGUGCCAGCAGCCGCGGUAAUACAGAGGGUGCAAGCGUUAAUCGGAAUUACUGGGCGUAAAGCGCGCGUAGGUGGUUUGUUAAGUCGGAUGUGAAAUCCCCG